rnacentral:rRNA from 1 species
UGGGGAAUAUUGCACAAUGGGCGAAAGCCUGAUGCAGCAACGCCGCGUGAGGGACGACGGCCUUCGGGUUGUAAACCUCUUUUAGCAAGGAAGAAGCGAAAGUGACGGUACUUGCAGAAAAAGCGCCGGCUAACUACGUGCCAGCAGCCGCGGUAAUACGUAGGGCGCAAGCGUUAUCCGGAAUUAUUGGGCGUAAAGAGCUCGUAGGCGGUUUGUCGCGUCUGCUGUGAAAACCCGAGGCUCAACCUCGGGCCUGCAGUGGGUACGGGCAGACUAGAGUGCGGUAGGGGAGAUUGGAACUCCUGGUGUAGCGGUGGAAUGCGCAGAUAUCAGGAAGAACACCGAUGGCGAAGGCAGAUCUCUGGGCCGUAACUGACACUGAGGAGCGAAAGGGUGGGGAGCAAACAGGCUUAGAUACCCUGGUAGUCCACCCCGUAAACGUUGGGAACUAGUUGUGGGGUCCAUUCCACGGAUUCCGUGACGCAGCUAACGCAUUAAGUUCCCCGCCUGGGGAGUACGGCCGCAAGGCUAAAACUUGAAA